rnacentral:ncRNA from 2 species
UUCUUAUCCAGAGAGGUGGAGGGACUGGCCCUAUGAAACCCAGCAACAGCUAAGAAGAUUCUUAGAGAUGUGCUAAUUCCUGCAGCCAUAGGCUGAAAGAUAAGAA